UUAAAAAAUAAAAUAAAUCAGACACGUACUAUAGCUAAAGCUGGAGUCAGAACCCUUGCGCAUACCUUCGGUUUUCUCAGGCAUCGGAAUUCCAUACCCCUCACGAGGCAGAGGAACGCGGAGGAACCAAACAUAUUUGAGGCAAUUUGGGACAACUACUCAUCUCCCGUAAUCCAUUCCUUCUCUAACUUGAACACACUUAUAUGUAUAGCAGUAAUUGGAUGUUUAUAAUUGUAAUUUUGCAAUUUGAUUGUGUUUAAAGUAUGUGUGAUUAGGAGUGAUGGGCUCGUGUCUAAUUAGAUUAAGAAUAUUA
rnacentral:lncRNA from 1 species